GGGAUUGUAGCUCAGUGGUAGAGCACAUGCCUUGCAUGUAUGAGGCACUGGAUUCGAUUCUC
rnacentral:tRNA from 1 species